GACGAACGCUGGCGGCGUGCUUAACACAUGCAAGCCGAACGUGAUUUUUGUGGAAAUUCUUUCGGGAAUGGACAUGAAAUGAAAGUGGCGAACGGGUGAGUAACACGUGAGCAACCUACCUUACACAGGGGGAUAGCCGUUGGAAACGACGAUUAGUACCGCAUGAGACCACAGAAUCGCAUGAUAUAGGGGUCAAAGAUUUAUCGGUGUAAGAAGGGCUCGCGUCUGAUUAGCUAGUUGGAAGGGUAAAGGCCUACCAAGGCGACGAUCAGUAGCCGGUCUGAGAGGAUGAACGGCCACAUUGGAACUGAGACACGGUCCAAACUCCUACGGGAGGCAGCAGUGGGGAAUAUUGCACAAUGGGGGGAACCCUGAUGCAGCGACGCCGCGUGAGCGAAGAAGGUUUUCGAAUCGUAAAGCUCUGUCCUAUGAGAAGAUAAUGACGGUAUCAUAGGAGGAAGCCCCGGCUAAAUACGUG
rnacentral:rRNA from 1 species